rnacentral:rRNA from 1 species
AACGAGCGCAACCCUCGACCUUAGUUGCCAGCAUUCAGUUGGGCACUCUAAGGUGACUGCCGGCUAAAAGUCGGAGAAGUGGGGAUGACGUCAAAUCAUCAUGCCCCUUAUGACCUGGGCUACACACGUGCUACAAUGGGCGGUACAAAGGGUCGCGAACCCGCGAGGGGGGAGCCAAUCCCAAAAAGCCGCUCUCAGUUCGGAUUGCAGGCUGCAACUCGCCUGCAUGAAGCCGGAAUCGCUAGUAAUCGCGGAUCAGCAUGCCGCGGUGAAUACGUUCCCGGGCCUU